rnacentral:rRNA from 1 species
UUGACCUCGGAUCAGGUAGGGAUACCCGCUGAACUUAAGCAUAUCAAUAAGCGGAGGAACAAGAAACCAACAGGGAUUGCCUCAGUAACGGCGAGUGAAGCGGCAACAGCUCAAAUUUGAAAUCUGACCCCGUCGGGGCCCGAGUUGUAAUU